rnacentral:rRNA from 1 species
AUUGAACGCUGGCGGCAUGCUUUACACAUGCAAGUCGAACGGCAGCGCGGGCUUCGUCCUGGCUGCGAGUGGCGAACGGGUGAGUAAUGCAUCGGAACGUGCCCAGUAGUGGGGGAUAGCCCGGCGAAAGCCGGAUUAAUACCGCAUACGACCUGAGGGUGAAAGCGGGGGACCGAAAGGCGUCGCGCGAUUUGAGGGACCGAUGUCGGAUUAGCUAGUUGGUGGGGUAAAGGCUUACCAAGGCGAGGAUGGGUAGCUGGUCUGAGAGGGCGACCAGCCACAUGGGGACUGAGAUACGGCCCAGACUGCGACGGGAGGGAGCAGUGGGGGAUGUUGCACAAUGGGCGGAAGCCUGAUGCAGCAACGCCGCGUGCGGGAUGACGGGCGGCGGGUUGUAAACCGCUUUCGCCUGUGACGAAGCGAGGGGGACGGAGAUGGGUAAAGAAACACGCGCUAGUUAAGUG